CGGGUUAAACGGUUCAACCAGUGACUCACUGGUUGAACCAAUAACCCAGUGACCCAGUAACCUGACCGGUUCGAUCACCGGUUCGGUUCUGACAACUAUGGCGUCAACGCAAGACGGAGCAAGGGCAAAAACUCUAGAAAUCCUAAAACUGCUAGAACAAUUAGGGGAUCGGGUACAAAAAGUUGCAAGUGGUGGGGUGACAACAAAAGAAAAAAGUCCGCAGAUUCCAAAGGAGAGUGGUGCAGAGGGUUUCGAGAAGUUUGAAACUCCUGCGAGGACGAAUGAAGUUACUUCUGACAUGAAAGAGAAAUGCUACCUCUGGGCCAUACGAGUGAAGACAUACACAAUUGGACUAACUAAUGAGUUUGACACCAUCUGCACACUCCAAGUCUAAGAUAGAUACAAUUUGUCAAAACUCCACCUUGCAUCACUCGCACCUGAAACGCAUAUAGAAGUUGAGAUUGUCUCUGUCAUGUGCUUCAUCCUAAACCAGCAAAAGAUUAAGAGGUUUCAAGAAGAAGUAUACUGUCUCCCCCCUGAUAUUGUAAACAUGGCCCUAAGAAAUCAUCCAAAAGGGGUAUUCUUACAGCCUAAUAACAAUAAGCCAUUCAGGGUGGAAGACUACCCAAUGUUUAUACCCUUCUUGGACCUUAAAAAAUUAGCAUCGCAUCGUUAUAUUUUUGCACCUAUUUGCCAUUCACAACAUUGGUGGUUAUGGUUGACUGAUAUAAGAAAGCAGAAAUUUUAUAUAGUCGACCCAUAUCACCCGUCUGAUGAGAGAACUGUCCUGAAUACAUUCAUUGGAUAUGUAAUUUCACGAAUUAAAGUAUAUGCUAGGGGCAUCUCUGAAGACAAGGGACAAGGACAAGAAAAUUAAACCACCAUACCUUAACAUCUCGGGCCAAAAGACAAGCUAUGACUGUGCUAUCUACGUAAUGAAGUGGCUUGAGAUAUUUGAGCCCGCAAACAUUAAAAGACAGAAGUAUGAGUGGGACAAUUGGACCCAGGAUGAGGUGUACCACUUUAGAGUAGAAUAUGCUUCCCGGAUUCUAUUCCAUGAAAUGAAUCAAGACAAAGCUGAAGCCAUUAGAGGAAGUAAUGCAAUAAGACUGUCCAAACUAUCCUCAUUGUUAUUGAGUCCAUGUUGCCAGAUAGAUUCUAAUGAUA